GUCAUACUGUGUGUGUAUGUAUAACUACAUAUGACAUACUGUGUGUGUAUGUAUCACUACAUAUGUCAUACUGUGUUUAUGUAUCACUACAUAUGUCAUCUGUGUGUGUGUAGCACUACAUAUUUAUGUGACUGAAUGUAAGAAAUAUGACAAAAAAUAAAUCAGGUUUGCUUUUAACUUUAAGAAAUAUUUGUUUGGAUGUAUGGAGGUAAAUGAAGCUUUUGUGUGAUAGGUUUGGUGUGUGCAAUGUAUUAUGUUUGAUAUAUAUUUUAUGUGUAUGGGGUGAUGCCUCAUCACUGUUUAGACAAACAGAGAAAAUACAUGCAAGUGUUUUAGAUGUUUUUUAAUUGAUUAAGUGAAGAAGACAUUUACAGGGUAUGUAAAUUCUAUAUUAGAUCAUUGUGUUUGUGCUUCCAUUACUUACUCAAAACACCAUACAUUACCAUAACUCUAGUCCUAGCAGUCUACUAUUUGAUAUAUGACAAGGUGAAUGGACAAGGAAAACGUCCGACAAUGAUCAGCCUUAAUUAGUGUACAAAAGAUCAACAUAGCUUACCGUCCAGCAGGUAAAUUUCACAAUAUGUCCGGGUUGAAUCACAGUAGAGAACUAUAGCAGGUCAACUUGUAUAAAUGCUGCUAAAUGUUCAUAACAUCUGAUGUUGAUAAAGCAUGUUUCACAUUGUCUUAUUAUGACUUGCUUUAUCUGUUGUAUUUUUCACUGCGAUUGCUAUUUACACAUAUGAGAUUAAAGAGUCCAGAUUUUUACUGUAAAUAAAAACUUGUCACAUUUCAUCCUUCAGUUCUUUCACACAUUUUGCUAUUUGUUCAUAACAUUAAAGAGACACUAAUUGUAAAGUAUUAACAUUUAGAACUUGAAUUCUGUGCCAUAAUCUCCCACUUUAUGUAUGUGUACCAGUUUAGUGAAGGAAUGUCUGUACAGUGUAAUAACCUGUCUUAUAUACCAGUAGUCUGUCUAGACAGGCCGGGUUUAUAGACUCAGUAUUGCUGGCUAUCAAUGUGUUGAAUAUACUGGUAAAUGUAUAUGUAUGUAAAUUAAUAGUUAUAUAUGCAUCUUUUCUUUUUUUUAAUUUGUGACGGGGUUUGGUCCAAAACGAGAAUACAACAUUAUUUUUAAAGAAAAUUGGUAGGACACUCGCCUGGCAUGCCACUGGGACAGGAAAAUUAUUUCUUGGGUCUCCUGGGGUUUGUUUUCUGCACACAACAGUGGUUGUGAUUGAUAAGGUUUAAUAUACAGUACAUCCUAAAACUAUCAUAUAUAUGUAAUAUUCAGUAAUAAAAAAAUUAGAUUAAAUGUCCAUGUGAAUUAGGUUAGUAUAGAAAAAAUAGGAUCUAACGACUGACUGAAGAACAAGCUGCUUUCAACCUUCCAUGGCUCUUCAGGUUUAUUUGUUUCAUCUGGGAAGGAUGAAAGCUGCUAGUUUUGUAGUCCGUCAUUCUAUUUAUUUUGUGUAGAUUUCAUUUAGUUUGUUUGAAUGUUAUGGCAUUGUGAUAAUUUUAAUUUGUAAAUACACAAUGUAUGUACUGGUACCACAGAAAUAUUGAUUUCUGUCAAAGAACAAAAACCCAUGGCAUUGUUACAAUAAUGUGUUUGUCAAUGAACUCAACACCGUGACAAGAUGUAUAAUGCAUAAUAAUUUUGAUAGAUUGUAAAAAUGUGACACGUUUUGUUAACAAAUGGUCAUUACACUGUGAUGAAGCAUCAACUAGAUACAGGUGUUAUUUUAGCGUUAGAGUUUAUUUUUGGAAUUUUUGUAUUCAUUUGAAUCUGAGAAUUCUACUUCCCAGUGAAUCUUCUUUAUAUACCUAGUAAUUACAACACUAUAAUUCCACAGCUAUUGUCUGUAGUAAAAAACCAUAACAUUUGCUUAGCGACAACAUAUUUCAAUAUCCAUUUUUGUCUUUUUUUGCAGAAUUCCUUUGUAUAUGUUUUCCAAUUUGUCAAACCCUUUUAUAAUGCCAUCAUUUCUCUUGACAAAUGGUGGCUGUAUAAUGAGGUUUUACAGUACAUUACUAGAUUACAGGUCAGUAAUGUAGGUCGGCAUUAAACCAAGAGCUGCUCACUAAAGAUCAGGAAUAAACAUGGGCCAUUUCUAGAGUACUGGUCAUUAUAUUACAGGGUCAGUAACAGACAUAGGGCAUUAACCAAUAACUUCUUAUAGGUCAUUUUCCUAUUUUCAUAUCAAAUUCCAUUACUUCUGGUCUUCUUGUCUGUCCAUUAUGCAAAGUGGUCACCUCAAGUCAUCCUUUAGAUUAGGGGAUGACUUAAGGUGACCACUCUAUUUAGAGGACAGACAAGAUGACAUGAGGUAAUCACAAUAUUUAGAGGACAGACAGGAUGACAUGAGGUAAUCACAAUAUUUAGAGGACAGACUGGAUGACAUGAUGUAAUCACAAUAUUUAGAGGACAGACCGGAUGACCUGAGGUAAUCACAAUAUUUAGAGGACAGACGGGAUGACCUGAGGCAAUCACAAUAUAUAGAGGACAGACAGGAUGACAUGAUGUAAUCACAAUAUGUAGAGGACAGACAGGAUGACAUGAGGUCAUCACAAUAGAUAGAGGACAGACAUGAUGACAUGAGGUAAUCACAAUAGUUAGAGGACAGACAGGAUGACAUGAGGGAAUCACAAUAGAUAGAGGACAGACAGGAUGACCUGAGGUAAUCACAAUAGAUAGAGGACAGACAGGAUGACGUGAGGUAAUCACAAUAGAUAGAGGACAGACAGGAUGACCUGAGGCAAUCACUAUAUUUAGAGGACAGACAGGAUGACCUGAGGUAACCACGUUAGACAGACAGACAGACAGAAUGACCUUGGGUAACCACAUUGGAUAGGGUACAGACAGAAUGAGCGGAGGUAACCACUUUAGAUAUCAGACAGACAGACAGACAGAAUGACAUUGGGUAACCACAUUGGAUAGGGUACAGAGAGAAUGAGCUGAGGUAGCCACUUUAGAUAUCAGACAGACAGAAGGACCUUGGGUAACCACAUUGGAUAGGUCACAGACAGAAUGAGCUGAGGUAGCCACUUUAGAUAUCAGACAGACAGAAUGACCUUGGGUAACCACAUUGGAUAGGGAAUAGACAGAAUGAGCUGAGGUAACCACUUUAGAUAUCAGACAGACAGACAGACAGAAUGACCUUGGGUAACCACAUUGGAUAGGGUGCAGACAGAAUGACCUUGGGUAACCACAUUGGAUAGGGUACAGACAGAAUGAGCUGAGGUAGGCACUUUAGAUAUCAGACAGACAGAAUGACAAUAGGUAACAACAUUGGAUAGGGCACAGACAGAAUGAGCUGAGGUAGGCACUUUAGAUAUCAGACAGACAGAAUGACAUUAGGUAACAACAUUGGAUAGGGUACAGACAGAAUGAGCUGAGGUAGCCACUUAAAAUAUCAGACGGACAGAAUGACAAUAGGUAACAACAUUGGAUAGGGUACAGACAGAAUGAGUGAGGUAACCACUUUAGAUAUCAGACAGACAGAAUGACGAUAGGUAACAACAUUGGAUAGGGAACAGACAGAAUGUGCUGAGGUACCCACUUUAGAUAUCAGACAGACAGAAUGACGAUAGGUAACAACAUUGGAUAGGGAACAGACAGAAUGAGCUGAGGGAGCCACUUAAAAUAUCAGACGGACAGAAUGACAAUAGGUAACAACAUUGGAUAGGGAACAGACAGAAUGAGCUGAGGGAGCCACUUAAAAUAUCAGACGGACAGAAUGACAAUAGGUAACAACAUUAGAUAGGGUACAGACAGAAUGACCUUGGGUAACAACAUUGGAUAGGGGAUAGACCUGAUGUAGGGGAGAGUUACAGACAACCAGAGGUAAUCGUAGUAGUCAAAGAUAAUUUUGUAGUACAGUGUACAUGUUUUACCUGUAAACAUUCCUGAGAAAACUGGACAAUUUAGUCAUGAACACAACUGUAUUUUCCUUACUAAUGCUUAAUGUAUAGGCACAAGAUACAUGAUUGUUAAUCAAAACUUUAAUCUUGUCUUUUGCUGGUCAAAGGUCAAUGUGAAAAAGUUGGAGUCAAGGACAGACAAAUUGUUAGACUUGAUUUUCAUAAUGAAACUGAUAAUUUCUUCAUUUCUUAAAAGAUGUGGCAACAUAUUAUAUGUACUACACCUAGAGAAAUAUUCUUAAAUGAAGGGAGACAACCCGUCAAACAUAAACACUGUCAUAUAAUUACUGCUGUGUUUUAUCAUUAGCAAGCUAUACUUAUUUAAUACUGAUUUAUUUUAUUCAUUUUAUUUAAAUUAUGCUUUUAUAUUAUAGAUAUAUAUUCAUAUAUACUGGUUUUAGAUUUGACAUUUAUAAAUGUCACCUGUUAACUUGCCUUAUACGGUAGCUACGAUGCACCACCUCACACACAGUGUAAUAACUGGGUACUUUAUGACGGAGUUGCUGUCAAUUUUGUUGUACAUUUGUAUUGUUGAAUCUGUACUGAUCCCUGUUUUUGGCCCUAGCUAGCUAUGUAUUCAUGUUUCAUAUAUCUAGAUAUGUACCCACUUGGUGAAACAGAAAGGUCACUUUGUGUUGAUGAUCACGGAAACAAAACCUAUCAAUUUAGUACACAUUGUUCACUACUUUUUUGUCUUUGUGUAUAAAGUAUUAAAAGACAUUGCGCACCUAAGAUUUGUAUAACAAAACAACUACCCUAAGGCUAGUCUCCAGUCCUACCCUAUGUGGGAGUACUGGAGUCCUAUAAGGGAGAUACGAGUCUACUAAAUGAUCACAGAACCUGCACAAAUAUUACCUUUUUGCAUUGAAAUUUUGAUUAAUAUAUACCGGUAUAUACAUUACAAAAAGCUUUGCAUAAAUGUUGACAGUUAUCACAGGUUGUAAUGAUGCUGCUUGAUUUCCUAAUCACAGAUUGAGAAGAUGUGACAGACUGAUCACAGAAUGACUUAUUGUGUUGUAUUUGAAGUGUAUUCAGUGUAUAAACAAGGCCAUAUAUGAUGUAACAAUAAUAUAUAAUAAGUAUUAUGAAUACAAACCUACUAAAACUGAA